rnacentral:lncRNA from 10 species
GAAAUGAUAAUAAUAGUGUUAAGUUGGCUCUUAUUUGAAGUGGGAAACUUCCAUAACAGAGCAAUACAUGUCUUUGUUUAUGAGUUGUGAGCCCUCAUAUUCCCUUAGAUAAUAUUCACCUUGAUACCAACCUCUUGGAUAAAUUCAGUUCUCCUUGUCUUUGUUCUCAUAGGCCACCGUAUAUACACAAUAUUUGGGCUUAUACUACUAUACUAUAAAUUGGGAAUUUUAGCCUGUGCCUUCCACUGGGACAGUGACUCCCUGAGAGUAAAACUUUGGUUUUCUGCGGUAUUCAGUCCCUGAUGUGGUGUUUAUCACAUGAUGGAUGCUCACUUUAUAUGCUUAAGAAUCCAACAAAUUGGUGUUUUGAGGAUAUGCAUUGGAUUCUAAAGUGGCAGUGUUGUCUGAAAAUAGAAUUUAUAAAUAUACAAGAUUAUUAUACUGUCAUUUGAGAUUACAUUAGAAUAUAAUUAACAAGAAAGAUGAUGCACAUAAUGCAUUAAUCAUCUCUGUAUUUGGUGUAUAUAUACAAAGGAAACAGAAAGUUAAUAAGUACUUUAACUUAAUGAGAAUUUCCCUAAAUUCAACUGUACUUUCUCUGACUGAUUUAAAUUUCACUUCAAUUACACAUCAUCUUUUCAUUUUAUAUGAAUUCCCAGUUUGUGACAUUUCUAAAUUAAAAAUUAGAUGAGAAUUUUAGAUGAUUUAAGACAAUAUUUUUAAACAUGUUACAUCAAUCUUCUGAGUUGUUUAAAAGCAAGACAUUGUCACUCUCUACUGCUGAAUAUGAUGCAUAUAAUUUAUGAUACGUUCAGUGAAUAAGGAGGAGAAUACACAGAGGUUUUUAAAUAAAAUAAAUCUUAUUUAAAUUAAAAUCUAUAUGUUGGGUUGAGUUUAGGAGCAACUGAAUAAGUAGUAGAACGUAAUUUGGAGAGCAUAAUGGCAAAUUCAGGAAUUAUUUCAGUUGCUAGGUACUAUAUAAAAGGUGCCGAGAACAGAGACAUUGAAGAACUGUGUAAAGGCCAGUUACUUUAACCAUUUAGUUUUUAGUAUGUAAAGUAAGUAGAUUGCACAAAGAAUAUUUAUAAAUUACUUUUCAAGUUUAAGCAUUUUAUUCAAUCUGUGGGAAAAUUAUAAACUCUUGUCAUGCACUAAAGCAAAGAAUAUUAAAAAGAACAAGCAUAUUAAAAACUGUAAAAGCCUACAUUAUUUUUUAAGGAAGGAUCGCAUCUUGUUUACUCUUUGUUUUUUGUGGAAGCUAUUAUAAAAGAAAAUGAAUGAGUUAACAAAUUGGCAGAUAUUAUAUAUAUAAAAAUUAAUGAGCUAUUUAGCAAUUAAUUUAAAGGAAAAGCUUAUUAAUAACUUCAGUGGAUUACUUAUAGUUUUAGAAUUUGAAGGUUGACAAAUUGCAUCUCUAAUUCAAGUAAGAAAUAAAAUUUAUAAUGGGAAGUUAUGUCUUUGAAGAGUCAGUAUCUUACUGUUGUGUGCCCAUAAAAAGGUUCAGUUAACAGAGACAAGAGAAAUACUCCUUUGAUUUUUCCCAUUAUAUGAGCAAUGCAUGCUCAUUAUCACUUGUUAAAACUACAUGGUACAUAAAGAAAAAAAAGUUAGAUUUAUAGAUUAAUAGUAACAUGGAAUAAAUCCCUAACAUUCUCUCUUCCGUAUCCUUCUCUGAAAUUAUAAAAUGGAGAUGAAGAAGUUUCAACAUCGGGACCAUAAUUCAAUUCUCUCCUAACUACUGAUUACAAUUGUGGUGGAGAAAAAGGUGUUCCUGGAGAAAGAAAGAAGACCAGAUAUUAGAGUGGGAAAGAAAAGAACAUUGAAUUAAAACAAACGGUGAGUAAAGCCCUGAUCCUACGUCAACCUAAUCACAUAGUAAAACAAGAUGAGAAAAUGACAGACUUUACAAUAA